GAAAUGCGAUAAGUAAUGUGAAUUGCAGAAUUCAGUGAAUCAUCGAAUCUUUGAACGCACAUUGCGCCCGCCAGUAUUCUGGCGGGCAUGCCUGUUCGAGCGUCAUUACAACCCUCAGGCCCCCGGGCCUGGCGUUGGGGAUCGGCGGAAGCCCCCUGCGGGCACAACGCCGUCCCCCAAAUACAGUGGCGGUCCCGCCGCAGCUUCCAUUGCGUAGUAGCUAACACCUCGCAACUGGAGAGCGGCGCGGCCACGCCGUAAAACACCCAACUUCUGAAUGUUGACCUCGAAUCAGGUAGGAAUACCCGCUGAACUGAAGC
rnacentral:misc_RNA from 1 species